GGUGACUUUUCAGCGACUGGAAUCGUGGUCACCCAUGUUAAUGCAGGAGAUGAUGUCUAUGUUAGGACGCAUGAAUCAUGGAAUCAUUGCUUUAUCGUCAGCAAUGAUGCAGGAAAAUCGUCAUUUGCUGGGUGGAAAUUGUCUUAAUGACUACAAAUGAUUAAAAAAAAAAAGAAAGAUGAUUCUUGUUUAAAAAGAAAUGUUUUGUGUUCUCAACAAAAACGUUGUGUUCAGAAUUUAUGUUUGUGUGUUAAACUACCUGAUUGUCGCACAAUGAAAAAAAAAAAUAAGCGACUUGUCAAGGUCCCAUAUAAACACUAAUGCUUUCCUGACACGAUGCAACCAAAACAGGAUGAUGGGUAUAGACAGACAUGGGCACUUAAAUUAAAGAUACCCGAUAUUUUGACGAUAAAAACAGGUUCACAUUGGAUAAAAAUUGUCUCCUCUUUUAAGAUAUGACAAAAUAAAAAUGUCACAUUU
rnacentral:misc_RNA from 1 species